GAAUGUAGCUCAGUGGAAGAGCAUCUGUCCAGCAUGUGUGAGGCCCUGGGUUCAAUCCCCAGCACA
rnacentral:tRNA from 1 species